rnacentral:rRNA from 1 species
ACUCCUACGGGAGGCAGCAGUGGGGAAUAUUGCACAAUGGGCGCAAGCCUGAUGCAGCCAUGCCGCGUGUGUGAAGAAGGCCUUCGGGUUGUAAAGCACUUUCAGUUGUGAGGAAGGUGGUGUCGUUAAUAGCGGCAUCAUUUGACGUUAGCAACAGAAGAAGCACCGGCUAACUCCGUGCCAGCAGCCGCGGUAAUACGGAGGGUGCGAGCGUUAAUCGGAAUUACUGGGCGUAAAGCGCAUGCAGGUGGUUUGUUAAGUCAGAUGUGAAAGCCCGGGGCUCAACCUCGGAACUGCAUUUGAAACUGGCAGACUAGAGUACUGUAGAGGGGGUAGAAUUUCAGGUGUAGCGGUGAAAUGCGUAGAGAUCUGAAGGAAUACCGGUGGCGAAGGCGGCCCCCUGGACAGAUACUGACACUCAGAUGCGAAAGCGUGGGGAGCAAACAGGAUUAGAUACCCUUGUAGCACAGAG